GAGGGAGAGAGAAACGUUCAAACUGAAAGGAAAAAAUGGUGUAACUAUUUUCAAACAAAGGUAUUAAAUGUCGAUGGACAUGUCAGAGACAUCGGAUCAAGAUCCGAGGGUCAUCCACACUUUCCCCUCCGUAACGUGUUAUCGCUGGAUUAAAAUCUGACGACCAACAGGGGCGGAGUUACAGCGUAGACAUUGGGUUCAGAUGAGGAAUUGGAUCCGAGCCUACACAUAUGAACCCCAUGAUUAUAGUGUAAUGAACCCAGUGGUUUCCUUUUCUGGCUCCACCCGUGACGACCAAUCACGUCGACUUGUCUCUAACUAAAAAAAUACAGACGACUUCUUAAUAGCAAAACAUGAAAAAGGAAUAUAAUGUCUCUGUAAAAUAUAGAAAGACGUGGUUCUCCGUUAAGAUGUUGUGGUUAUUUCUCUUCUGUCAGUUGACCAUUUUUGUCCCCGUCUGAUCCAGCGCCGCUCCGUUACCGUACCAUGUUUUUUCACGUCAUUAUCCGUCCGUAUUCCUUAUUUGUUUUUGCAUUCAUAUCAUGUCCGUGCCGCUUCCAAACCAAUGGAAAUUGUGAAAUAAAAUAUGGUACUAUAUAAAAUCAUUAUCCGGUCCCGUUUUACAUAUAUGCUAUAUUCCUCAAGUAUGUACAUCGAUCGCGGUCUUGUAUGAUUCAAAAACAAAAACGAAAUAUCAGUAGAGAGCAAGCGUACAUGCACACGCAGGAUAUGCUUUCGUUGGUUAAUUCGGUGUACGUACGGACCACCGCGAUGUCUCUGCGCCCGUCGACGUCACACACGCUUACGUGAGUGCGUGCGUACAGUCGGUGAUUAAUCGAUCCGGAAACGUGCCAAUAUAGUCUGCAGCCGCGCCGGCUUUUUAUACUCCCUGCAAUCAAUGCACCCGGCCCUCUCGUUUCGGCCGAAAACUGCAUACCACGCUCGAUCGAAUCAUCCAAGUAUACAGAUACACACAUGCUUCUCGAUGACUCGAUCGAUGGACUUACGGUAUAAUCGUACAGUAGUUGCUUUCGCUUCCAGACGUAGGUACACGGAACGACGAACCGGGAAAAACGGCCCUCCUGCUCCUGGCUUGGAAUCAUUCCACCUCUGGUGGAAAUCCUGGACCACCCGUACGUCCAUAUGCUCCCUUGCGAGUUGCAGACACGUUAUACGUACUCAUGUAAUCGCUCCGUUUCAUAAAAAUUGACACGAUUUUAAAUCAGAACUAAGUUAAAAUCAUGUCAAUCUUCGUGAAACGGAGGAAGUACCUGACAGGAAUGCAUGCAGGGAUCAGGCACUCCAGUUUGGAGUUGGAACGGGGCACACAUGUGGAAAAAGUUUCGAACUAACAAGGUGGCGACUGCGACCAAAGCCAGAACCAUUUUUUGUCGAGCACGAUCGAUCGACCUGCAGCGCCAGAGCCACUAGAGGGCCCAGAUCAGCUUGCCCCGCCCCAAUUCCAUGCGUUCCGGUUGUUUCCUUUCGAGCCCCCUGCCCCAGUUGCCUGCCCUUUUAUCUCUCAGCGAUCAGUUACGUUCAUGCAUUCUUGGCCACACGUACCUACACUACAAUCGGUACUACUACGUACAUGCGAGAUAGCUAUGUCCCGAUCGAGCCUGCAAUUAACGGCAACUCGACCGAUCAAUCUGCAAGUAGAGACAGUAAUCUCGAAUUUGGUUCAAAAGCAGGCAGCGAAUCCUGGAACGACCAAGUUACACGGUACUCCUAUGUAAGCUAGUACUAGUACAACUAGUAGCAUGCCACCGGUGGAUCACUCACCUGGGGAUACAAAACCGUUCUCCUUCGAUUAGAGUCGUCUGCAUUAUUGACAGUUUCGAUGGACCAGGCAGACAGAAGCAAAGCCUGGAUGCGCGCGGGAUCCACUUGUCCAGCAAAAGGGCACGAAUCGGGGAGGUCACAGGACUUAAACAUACGAUAGGCCACGCGAGCCAAAGGCGUGCCGUACUGUGCUGCCCCUGCCUGGCCUGUCGUGUGAUGUGACAGAAAAAAAUUAAAGGGAGCGGCGAACCUGCGUUUCAUGAUCAUUGAUAGAUGGAUGGGUGGAUCGAGCUAGUAUUAAGCUGGUUGUGGUGUGUGUGUGUGGAGGGGGGUCUGUCUUUGAAAAGUCGACGCUGCAUGCGGACGUUCAGUUUCAAGUGGCGUGCAAGAUGUUCCUAGUGAAAAUGUGAAAUCAUGGGGGAAAUAGGCGAAGUUUGCAGGGUUGAACGGCACACCGCGUUUGGCUGACGGCUCUAUGCGCGGAUAUGAUGUUUUCUUUUUAACGAAUAUUCUGAUAUUUUUCAAUACCAAAACCGUAUUCGGAGUUAGCUGGCGUCUGAAUUUUAAACAGAAGACUUAAAUCUCCGGACUCUUGAAUUAAGAUCUAAGUGUCAUCCCCACUCUCUCUUCUCCCGCAUGCUGUUGUUGGAUUAAGAUCCAAUGUUCAAACACGUCAGCUGAUCGCUAACUAAGAAACAAGCGACUUCUUAAUAGCAAACCGUUUUCUGAAUCCCCACAUUCGAUAAUAAAAUUCCACCGGGAACCUACCAUGCUGUAUGCAGAUAUCGACCUUCUUUUUUUGGAUUGUGAUAAGUGUAUUUUCAUAGUUUAAAUAUUGUUCACGGUGCAAAUUCCGCCCUUGCGUGGCGGGUUAUUGGACAUUCAACUGUGGAUACCGAGCUUAGCAAAUUUUUGUCGAACUCUUUUUGGAAUGGAAUGGAUUAAUACAAUUUGACUAAGAGUCAUCAUUUUUAUGGUUUAGGGUGGUGGCUGCACCCCAAAACCUACCAAGGAUCGAACCCCAGGUUUGACCCUCGGCGUGUCUCAUUUGAGCCGAAUUUCUUUUGGCAGUAGGAGAUGCAAUCCGUUCACGCUUCACACUGAAGCGUCAGUGACUUCGUCGAUCUCAAAACGUUUUCACGAUUCUGGUCAUCCGUGUGAGUGUGUGCGCACGGCGGUGUACGUCGUGUGUGAUCAUUGUUCCUAAAAUAAAGUACUUCCUUCGUCUAACAAAGGAUGUCUGAAUUUUGAUUAAAUUUGAAUGCAUCUAUACAUCAAGUCAUGUCUACAUACAUCAACAUUUUGACAAACUUGAGACAUCUUUUGCUGGACGGUGAAAGUAUAGGAGCCCGGGAAUAGCCGCAUCUUAUUACAAGCAAUUAAUAUUUCGACCCUGAACCAGUUUGAGCUUAACCCCAGUGGAUCGGAAUCGGGUUCACUGAGCGAGCGAGCGCUCCAUUACAGAUUUUUACAGGCACUGAGGCACCGUCUCUUCCUGCUGCCCCCCUCCGGGGAGCUAGCUGCGUGCUAUGGACCGCCCAUUCGUGGAACGGGCUGUACCCACCAAUACCUACGUACCUGCGCGCCUGCCAUGCCACCCCUCUGCCACGGGGGGCUGUCGGCUCCAAAGAAUCAUGCAAUAAUUACCAGCUUCUUCUAUCGGCGGCAUACAGAGGAGAGGAUUGAGCUUUUGAGCAUCUCGUGUGCAGAGAGAAUCUCUCUGCCCGUUCGCGCCAGGUGGAUGUAUUUACUUGCGCCAGGAGCAAACGAGCAACUCGUGACCGCCUACGCACGUUUCCCCGACUAGACAAGUCAAUUGGUGAAAAUUGGUGAAAUUGGCAGCUAGCUUAUUUAUCCCUUUAUCCAUUCGCACCCACCCCACCCCGGCCACCCUCCGCGCUGCGCAUGCAUGCAUGUCCUCGUGGGCUCUCGAGGACUUGAAGUACGUACGUCGCAUGCAUGCAGAUAAGACGGAGCUAGAGAGAAAGCCUCUUCUUUUCGCUCGUGGCCCGGCAUGUGCAUGCCAAUGGCAAUGCCAGCGUCCCAGUCAGCUACUCUCUCCGUUCCAAAUUCUUGCCUCAAAUUUAUCCAAAAAUAAAUAUAUUUAUUUUUUAAAAACGUUUAUAUACAUGUAAUAGUCCGACAAAAAUUAUGAAACGGAAGGAAUACUGACCAUAGCUAUGGUCAGUACAACUCCUAGUGACAAGUGCAAGCAGGGGAAGUUCAUACUCUAUGUGGGAGGUGCAAUGCAUCUCUCGCUCUAAAGACGUGGUACUCCUAGACUACAGGACUACCACGUACUGGAUUCAUCGAGAUGUGAUGGAACGGUGUACCAGGGUGCGUGGCAUGCAUGUAGACGCCGGGCCGAUCGAUGUAUGUCGAGAGCGGGAUAUGGACAACGAAAAAGGGUGUGGGCAGGGUAGGUGUUCGAUCAAAAUCCACGGACAGUUCCAAACUGAGGAGACCAUGGGGAAACUACUGGACAUCGGGGGUAUAGUGUUCACGUGACGUCAGAACUGGGGAGAGCUACACAACCUCAAGUCGUCGUCUUCUGGUAAGCAAGAGGACCCUUGUUUGGGAGCGCAAUGCAAGUGCAGAUGUUGUGCAGGCGCAGCAGAGACGUGACCCUUGCAGAAGAAAACGCGAAGAGCCGGGUAUAGUGGAUAUGUGGAUGCGUGAAUUAUCGUGGGCCGGGCCGCUUCAAAGCCUGGUAACGCGUGUCGUCGUGGCCUGGCCCAGAUUAUGCUGCUCAUCCGUCCAGCUCGCAAUACAUGAAGAGAAGUUCAAAAACCCGCUGUCCACUUUUGCAUUUAUCCAACGUUUCCUUGAUGAUUUGUCUCUCAUUCGUGAUGUUGUCCAUGCUGUGACACCGGAGCCUCCUCCUGGUGGUGGUCGCCUUGUCCCGCCCACCAACCGCUGGUCUCCUCCGUCGGCUGGUAUGUGUAAAAUUAAUGCGGAUGCUGGAGUUGCAAGGUCAGGUGCAGGUGGUUCUUGUGCUGCGGUCUGUCGCGAUGAAUGUGGAAGAUUCAUGAGAGCCUCUUCGAUUACAAUCGAGGGCAUGACCGACCCUACAAUACUUGAAGCAUUGGCAUGUAAUGAAGGCUUGUCUCUGGCCUUGGACCUUAACAUCUCAAAAGUUUGUGUUGUUUCGUACUGCUUAACGGUUAUCAAGAGUCUACAACAAGAUGAUCUUUGCUAUUAUAGUGCGAUCAUUAAGGAUAUUGUGGCAAGGAAGGAUCAGUUCCGUGAUGCUGUUUUCAGACGUGAGAAGAGAACUCUUUAUAGAGAUGCUCAUAAUCUAGUUAGAGCGGAGUUACCGCUUUCUGUUGGCCAUCAUAUUUGGCUUUUAAGUACCCCAUGCAUUACUUGUAUUCCUGUUCAAGUUGGUGUUGAAUAAAGCUGGCCUUUCCCCUAAAAAUAAAAUAUCCGUCCAGCAGAACUGAAUCCCCAAUAGCGCGGUUACAAGACAAGAAUGAUUAUGUAAUUAUGUUCCUUGUUAUCGUUUCACUUUGCACCACAGAAAGAGUGCUCUGUUUGGCUCCACCAAGGCAAAAGGAAAGAGAAACAGGAACCGAGGAGUGUCUCAUUGUCAAUUACUAAUUCAGCCAACGAACCCAUAAAACAUGUACCGACGCAAAUGCAAUUCAUCAGAAGUGUUCUUCAAGGAAGAACACAGACAGGGUAUCGGACUACCGGUGACUAUGUUUGGAUAUCUUACAUGCUCAGAAUGCUGCGGGCGAGUUAACUGGGAAAUAAUUGAAGAUGAAGAAAGGACACAGCAAGUUACAUAAGCGGCAACAGAUUUUGCUAGAGUGGCACAGCAGUGGCAGGUGCUGGAACAUGCACCUCAAAUACAAUCAGGAACUCGAACUGUUUAUAGCUUUGGACACUUUCUUCCAUCGCAAAACACUUCGAGUUUGUUCUUAUCAAGCAAAUGGUUUUCGAUUAGGCCCAGAUAUGACAUGGUGUUAUUACAUGCAUAACAGCGCUGGCUUGUCAAGCACCACUGGCAUACAGGCGAGUCCACUCCUUCGCUGCAAAGCAAAAAAAAAAUUGACAUGUUAGGUACAAAAAGCAAUGAAAAGUGGAGCAAAAUGACAUGCUAGUGUAUCAAAGUGCAGUGUUAGCGUGCGGCUUUGUUGGCUGAAUUUUCAGUUACCUGUCUCGACAGCUUCAGCUUCAUUGGAUUUCCAGUGUUUUGCCACGUUUUCUGAGAGCGGAUCAUCUGGAUUCGGAGCGCUCAGCAGUGCCUGAAUGCUGCAGACCAAACAUUGUAAAGAGGCAAAAAAAAAAGAGUAUACAAUAGUGGAUACAAGAAGCAACCCUCUGGAAAUACGAUAAUAUGAUACGAUCAUGAACUAUAAUGAAACUAUUUGGCCAAACAUGCCACGGAAGACAGAAGAGGUUGCUACCUCAAAAGAACAGUACGUAUCUGAAGAGCUGGGCUCCAUUUGUCCUUCAGGAUAUCGAGGCAUAUCCUACCAAGCUGCAGUGCAAGUCAAUCCGAAAUGAGAAACUGUUAUCGAAUGAAGUUCCAUUGAGAAUAUCAGUUCCCUACCUUGUCAAUGUUGGGAUGGUAUAUUUUUGUGAGAAACCUAACCUGCGUCAGGAAUAACCAAAGAGUGAUGUCCAUCAGAAAGAAUCACAACAGAGACAACAUACAGAAAAGUCAAAUAGAAUUGUGUAACUACUUUGGUUAGACGACAGUGUCACACUAAAACUAAAACAACCAUGUUGAUAUCCGUAAGAGUAAAACAGUCCAAGGACAGGAGUUGAGAACAAAAUAUUCAGCUACCUCUUAUUUAACAUGAUGGAAAUUACUACUCCCUCCGAUCCAUAUUAAUUGUCGAAAUAUUACAUGUAUCUAGACAAUUUUUUAGCCAUAGAUACAUCCAUAUUUGGGCAAAUUUGAGACAAUUAAUAUGGAUCGGAGGGAGUAUUAGUCUGAGUCUCAGAUGAUAUAUCACAAUGUCAGUACACUCCAAAUAUAGCAUUGCCAAUUAAGUAAAGUAAAGUACGGAACUGUGCAAAGGAGAUUAGUUAAGUGAACGGAGAGAGAAAUCUAGUAUGGAUACGAAAAGUAUUAACACAAUACUAAACAUGGGCAUUCAGUAUUCCUGAUCACAAAGAUGGUAUGCAAAUCUAUUAAUGGUACAUAUCAACAACAAACAUGGGCGCUGCCCAAAAUAAGAUGUCACAAUAAAUUGCUGGUUUCGGUUAACCACAGGCAUAAUUAAACGUCCAUCCCACUGUCGCACCAUAGCAUGAUAAAAUCAUUGCGAAGAUCGCUCUGCCAGAUUUUGAACUCAAAUUUCAGUUACAACUUACAACUAGGAAAUGAACCAAAUUCCACAUCAAGGAGCCUACCGGGACAAGAAAAUCCAUCACAAUAUGUGUCAAACUAAUAACUUCUUAAACAACCAUCCACUAAUACUUGAUCAAAAAAUUACUUUUGGAGCAGCCAUCGGAUAUUCCUCAGGUAAGAAAAGUUCAAGCUUGAAAACUCCACCUGUCCAACACAUAUUAGAAGAAAUAUCAGGAGGACCAGACACAGACAACUAAACAAAAUAAUGUUUCACCCAAUUAAAAAUGUCAUAAGCAAAUACAGUAUACAAAGAUAAGUAAACCAAGCUUAAAUAAAUAAGAUAACAUAGUGACAAAUGUACUGUCUAACAAUAGGAAAACAGGUCGUUCUGUGUACCAUUUAUCAUAUACAUGCACCGCAUUUCAUUACUCCAUGUUGCAUGGAAACAUGGUAGAUAGUUCCUUGUGCCGUAUAUCAGUAAACUUCAGUAAUCGCAAAGGUUAAGGAAACCCAAGACAUUCAAUUCCCAUAGGUUACUGAUAUAUGGUACAGUUGUAGAUCUAGCAUGUUAAGGAAACUACAAACUUGUGCCCCAUAUCAUAUCUAAACUAAUAGCAGGUAUAACUGUUGAAGUAUAAGGUGAAUUGCCCUCAUUUCUCCAUCAGCUUAGGCUUUUAGGGGCACUGGUUCGGCCCAUAUGCAACUCUCCAUGGUAUCCGAGCCAAGAGGUCCCGAGUUCAAGCUCAAUAUAAUAAAAAGGCACUUUUGAUCCAUGAGGGGGAGUGUUGAAGUACGAAAUGAAUUGCACUCGUUUCCCCAUCAGCUUAGACUUUUGGGUGAACUGGUUCGGCACAAGCAACUCUACAAAAGGCAGUCUUCCUAUGUGGAAUAACUUCUACAAAUAAAAAACCAGGUUCACUAGAGCUUAAGAUAACCGAUGAAAUGGACUUGUCAAGCUAUAUUUUGUGAUGGAUUCAACAAAGCAGAAUCUCAAAGUAUAGAAUCCAAAAGGCACAGAAGAGUACAAUUACCACUGGAACAGCUGGGUACAAGAUGGUCGGAUUGCUGGUCUAGCAAACAUAAGUUUAGAAGUGUAUAGUUCCGGCAGCACUAGAACAACACCUUUAUGUGACCAUCCUGAUAUGAUCAUCCAUCUGUGAUGUUUUACUACAUAUUUGCAGCAUUUUACAAACAAAAAGAGCCAUAGAUACGAAAAUGGGGACGCGGUGACCACAGUUACAGUCCUAAAUUGCCACAGAACUACGCAUUCGUGCUCCAAAGUAUUACAGGGUUAUCGGCAUACGAAACAUUCCAACAGAAAUAAAAUGAAAAGGAGGUUUUACCUUCAUAAGGAGACUGCGCCGGACCAAGGACCAUGACAUUGAAGUAGCGCAUGUUCUCCUCCGACGGCGACGCGCUAAUCCCCGGCGCUGCACGCACCCCCCCAACACACGAAUCAGCACAAACAUCCGAGGCUCGAACGCGGACAACACAACAGGAGCAUCGAAUUCUAGGAAAACGAACCUGGUUCGCUGAGCAGCCGCUGCGUCUCCUGCAGCAGAUCCAAAUUCCGAACAGAUUAGGCACCACGCACAAGGAAUAACCAGACGAUAAGGUUAUCAUAUCGCGUUAGAGUCUCAGAAACGGCUGUAGAUCUGGGGGGGUGAGGGGCGAUCGGAUCGCGGGGUAGGGCGCGCGCACCUUGAUGAUCCGGCGCGGGAGGUUGCUGUUGGCCAUGGAGUCCGGCCGGGGCUGGAGCGAGAGCCUAGAGGGGAGGGGGGGAGGGACCGCCUCGAGCUUCGCGCGGCGACGGAGGAGAAGACAGCGCGAGAGAGGUCAAAGGAGUCGUCGAUCUGUCGGGGAGGGCGAGCCGGGGGAGGAGGCGACGAACGAACAGAAAUGGGUCAGGGUCCGAUACUGUGUACCACGUAUUUAUAAACUCCACGCUACAGCCGCUGCUGCUGAUAUUUUCCUUUUCCUCUUGAGCUGGUGUUUUCGUUUUAUACUCUACCGACCUGUUUGUUUGUCCUUCUAUUUCAGUUUUUUUGCAUCUGGCAAUCUUAAAAGCAUCUUUUCUGUUUACACGUGAAGCUGAGAGGCACCUCCGAACAUGCUAAACACUGUUUACACAUGAAGCUGAGAAGCACCUUCGGACGUGCUAAACAGAAAAAGUGCUUUUGAGAUUGCUAAAAGUACCAAAAACUGAAACAGAAGUCCAAACAAAUAGGCCCAGAGUCUGCUGGAUUGUGAAUUUGAAUACGCACACGGCGAAAUCAAAAUACGAAGUCAUGGCCACUAUGUUUAAAAUAAAAUUCGUGUACUUGGACAAAACAGAAGUUGUUCGGUGAAUAAAAAAACCCUAGAAAUGAUUUUCCGACGUAAUAAACGGUAUAAUAGUACUACUAGUAGUACGAGGGCUGCUGCAGCGGAGAUUAAAAAAAAACGGUGUUCGUUUUAGGUGAGCCAGGGAGAGCAUCUCUCCACGCGAAGGGAGCACACAAUUUAUGCAUGUGCAGAGAGAGAGAGCACGGAGAAGAACAACCUUUGGGUUUGCCUAAUUGCAACGGCCAACUUGUGACUUUGUGUUGUGCGCGCUCGUCGUGGAAGGAUCUCAGGCGAAAAGGAAGGUGGGGGAAAGCUCGAUUAUUCUCCGCAGCUUCAAUCCCACGCUAAGCCGCCUGGUCGAAAAGGUUUGGCUGGCCAAACCGGUUUUGCAUGGUACUCCGUAACAUGUUUUUCAAGUUUUUUAGAACUUUGGAGGAACUCGAAACAAAUUGAGAGCAUACGCUUUCUAAGAGUUGAAAAGUAUUAUUUUCGAAGCACGGGCAGUCGGGCACGGGCAUCAGAGCAUCUCCGUUGCCAGUCGCUCGAAGCGAAGAGAAAUCACGCACUUCCUCUGCUACCGAAGCGAAGGCAGGAACAAGAACAACAGCGACGAGACACAGCCAGAAAUUCGGCAUAGUAUUUGCUCAGGGCUAGAUUCCACUGUAUUCGCUGUAAUCUGGUAAAGCAUGUCGCAUGUGCCCAGACUACAGGAGGAUUUCAAGACAAGUAUCCAGUCCUGUCUUAUUUACAACAGAUAGCGUGCAAAACUAUGCUCAAGAAUCAAGAUAGAUAAAUAACACUGGAUUUCCCCAGUACUUGCUACUUCACCGAACUACGGAGUACAACUGGUAAAGAAUAGUUUCACAAGUCGGAUCCUGAGAUCACAAUGAAAGAGAAGAUACAACAGGGAGUAUUAAAUCUGCACAUGAUCACAAGGAAAUCCAGAUGCACAUGAAUCCAGACAAUAGGAAGAACAGGGAACAGUUUGACAUAUUUUUUCUAAUAAAACAGAAGGUCAGAGUUGCAUGCCUACAUUGUCAACAAAAUAAUAGAUGAAUUGCACGAACAUACCUCAACGACUCAAUGUCAACAUGGAUUUACACUAACAAUUUUUAGUCUUUGACCUUUCAUACUCUUCAGAAUUAAUUAUUACCAGACUAAAAACUACAAUGCACCUAAGAACACGAGCUUUCGCUUCAGAAUAUCCCAAGGAUGGUGGGGGCAGGUGGAGCACGCCAUCAUUGGAGAGCAAGAGCAACGCCAUGUCAUUAACUGAUCAUCUUCAAAUGAUAAUCUGUAGAAGAGACAAUGGACAAGAGUCAAUUGAUCGCUUCACCAAACAGUAACAUUACAAAUUUGCUAUACAGGCUCCAAACAAACUGAUUUUCUAUCAGUCUACGCUUAAACAUAGCAGUUAACAGGGGCAAAGCUUAACACAGGCCCAUCAGCAAUCAUGCAGAGAACAAGGCAAGGCAGAUCAUCCAUGGGAAUCACACAACAAUCCACAAGGAAGCAUGCAUUACAUUCUUUGGAAAGCCAAUCAAGAGAAAUCUGGGUUCAGCGAUCGGAAAGAUUUACAAUGGAUAAGAUAUGUCAAAAUUUCAGUACUGGAAACUUCAGUUACAAAGCAAUUUGAUAAAUCUUACAUGCCAAGACAAGUAUAGAAGAUAUAUCUUUAUAUAAUAAUACUGACUCGUAAUUGUUAGGCUUACAGCAAAAAAAAGGUUAAGUUUCAUUAAACAAGCUUAUUUAUCGGUCUCUGAGGAGCUGGGUUACCUGUAGAUAAAUGGGACCAGAAACUAAGAGGUUACCUGUUGACUCAAGCUUAUGCUUAUUUUGGCGAUACACGUACUCUUAGGCUGGACAUAAUUCACCCUAACGAUUCUCACUAAGACAUGAGAAAGGAAUUCUAGUACGGAAAGGAAGUGAAAACCAGCGCAUGUGCAUCCAAGUGACUCCUAGUGAAACAGCACAGAGAGUGUCCCAGAUCGAUUUUAACUCUGAGUCACCAAGUGGUUCGUCGGUAUCAAUUUGAUCCUAACAGAUUCCAGGCAAUACCAUCAUAUGUCACCCAGUCAUGAUUUCCAGGAAAAGAAUAUAAGUAUUUUCAUCAUACAGACAGAAUUGAAGAAAAACUAUUAUUAGACCAUACAUUAUGGUCUUUCAUUUGUCAUGACAAAAAUGUACUCCCUCCGAUCCAUAAAAGGUGACGCCCAUUUUGUACUAAGUUAGCACAAAUUUUGUACUAGGUGGGCGACACAUUUUAUGGAUCGGAGGGAGUAAUAAGAAACACUAAAAGCUCAAGAUAGAAACUAUGAUUAGUUAGUUCAAUCUUUUAAUAACACCUAUGACAUAACAGAGCUGCACAAUUAUAAUUCUGUAAAUUUUAUCACACCCAAAAACCCAGAGAACCAAACGAUAAGAUACAUAAGUACUUAAAUCUACAAUCAUAACGAGAUGGUCAACAUAUCUCAUCAAUGCACAAAAUUAAAUAGAAAAACACACGACGAAAACAUCCACCAAACAUUAUCUACUGAAGACACAAAAUAUAAAUAGAAUCUCACAAAGCCUACACCAGGAUAGAUCUUAUAUGUGAAUAUCAAUGCUCAACAGGACCGAAAGCCUUAUUUAUGAAGGUUAUCGCACAUUUGGGCUAAGGCCAUUGUAACAUAAAAUAGUCCAAAAUGCACAACAUAUGGGGUGGUCGGACUUCGGCAACGAAACUUCAGACAUACUCGCUAGAUUUUCCGAAGCAACAGUAUCUAAACUUUUUUGUUGCUAAUCCUCCGCAGCAACUCGAGCCAAUUGUUUACCAAGAUCCUUAUCGAGAUUAGCUAGAUUAUUAAACCUUGACUGUAGAUAAACGGACAUGUAUGUAACAUAUUGCUCAGAACAAUCAAGUCGGGCUCACCCAAGCUUGUUUACACCCAUAUGAAGGAAAGGCUUAUUGAAUUGCAUUGUCAGGAAAUCAGCACUUCCCCAAACAAACUGAAAGUACCUUUAUUCCACAACCUAUAAACAUCAAUGGAUAUACUCAGAACACAACAGCUUACAUGUGUGGACCUUCCCACCAUUAAGGCCAAACAUAGUAACAAUAAGUUCCACUUAUUAAAAUGUCAUUGUAUACAAGAAUGUCAGAUUAAAUUAUGCCUCUACACAAGCAUACCAAUCCUGUCACUAUCACUGAAAGUCUGAAACAUUAACUAACAGCCAACAUCAUGCCACAUAACUUGUAAUUUUAGCACAUCAACAUUAGCAUUACAGAAACAAUAGUAGCCACAGAUCACAUAAACGAACAAAAACAAUCUACAGCAAUGUUCUAAACUGAAAUGCUAAAACAUACUUUACCUAAAACCCUCGUCCGCAUCAGAGGUAAUUGGAGUUGGAAAGGAAAGGCAGCGCAGCAACGGAUGAAAUCAGCUCCACUCCACCAGCACCAUUGGAUGCAGCCCCUCCGCUCUUCUUCGUGCGCUUCACCCUUGCGAGCUUCACGUGCGCAUCGACGAAGUUCUCCAUGCGCUUCACCUCCAGCUGCUUCAGGAAGUCAAUUCGCUCGCGUUCCAUCUCUAGCGAAUGCUUUUGUUUCGCACUCUCCACGCGCUCAUACAUCUCUGCAAAAGCCUCAAUUGCCCUCGCCAGCUCGCUGACACCACUAUCCCCAUCACCGCCAGCCUCGCGACGAAAGGGACGCUUGUUGCUACCGCCGGAGCGCGCCGACGAGACAGAACGCGACGGUGACCUCCGCAAGUUGUCAUGGUGGUUGUUGUUGUUGUUACCACCAGGAUGAUCACCAGAGUCCUCCGAAUCAGACACCGCUGCAGCGGCGGCAGCGGCUUCCUGCUGGAUGAACGCAGCGGCAGGGAGCAGCGCCCCGCGGCGGUAGCUGGGGAGGGGCAGAGCCAUGGGCGGGGGCGGGGACGGCGAGGAAGAAGGCGACGGGUACUUCCUCGCGGCGGUAGAAGAAGGAUGGACGGGCAGGGCGAGGUGCGGGGCCAUCGCCGGCGAGGGCCGCUUGUUGGCGGCGGAGUUGAGGGUGGGGCCGACGAGUCGGUCGAGCUCGUCGAAGAAGCUCCAGCCCGACGGCGCGCCGCGGACGCGCUCGGCCUUGUACUUCUUCUUGAGGGUGUCGACGCGGUUCUUGCACUGCACGUCGGUGCGCGGCGGGCGGCGGCGCGCGGCGGCCCCGCGGCGCGAGUUGACGGCGUUGGCCACCUCCUGCCACUGCUUCUGGCGCAGGUUGCCGCGGUUGAGCUCCACGUAGCGGCUGCCCCACGCGUCCACCAGCGCCGCCGUCUCGCCCUCGCUCCAGCAGUCCUCCCGGUAGGGCAGGUUAGGGUUGGGCGGCGGCAGCCUCCCAAACCCUCCCCCUCCUCCUCCUCCCCCUCCUCCCGCCGCCGCCGCAGCAGCAGCCGCAGCCAUCUCCCUCACCUCCAUCGGAACCAGAUCUCGCAGGAGCAAACCCUAACCCUAGCUAGCCCGCCCGCCGAGAGAAGAGGACCGAGCGAGCCUCGGGGAAGUCGCGCGUGACGGUGGGCUAUGUGAGCGGUGGGGGGUUCGGGGUUGGAAUAAAAGGACACGGCGAGGGAAGGGGGGAGGUGGGGUCGCCGGCCGCGAGGGGUCCGGGUUCCGUCCGUCACGCACGCGGCACGUGACGCGUGACCGGCGAGGGGGGGGCGGCAUCGGCAUGGCAUAUCUCGCUCGCUCUCGUGUGUCGUGGGUGACCGGAUUCGGAUCGGAGACGUGCCGCCGUUGGAUUGCGUUUGACCGGGUAACCGGCGAUUACUUUCGGGUUUCGGAGGGCGGGUGGGAUAAUGACAGCCAGCCAGGCACAGGCAAAGCAGAGCGCGGCGACAGGCGACAGCCGGAGACCGGACGGAAUACGGUGGCUGGCGCGGGGGUGGGAAAUUACCGCGUUGCCCCUACCCCGGGGAGCAGGCCGGGGCGGCACGCGGCAGGGGCAAGGCGGGGAUUUCGCGUGGGGCGGCGCGGUGUCAGGGGGUGAGCUGGUCGCCGUUGGUCGGUUUGCGUUUCGGGGCCGCCGAAAGAGGGGAGAGGAGAGAGAGAGAAACGCGCCGAGGAUGAUGGGGAAGGGAGAGGAGACUCGCGAACCGAAGACACCGCUGCUCCUCGCUCUGUACUCCAGUCUAGGCUUCUAGCUAGACUCGGCGCGGUGGAGUGGGUGGGUGAAGAGACUGAGGCGCGGGGCCCGCGUGCAAGCAGGCAGGGCGGGCAAUUAUUGUCGCCUCUGGUGCCGUCGCUCGGUACAGAGGACGGACGGACGGACGGCGUGGGCAAAAUUUAAUCGGCGUGCAGCAGGUGCCGGCUGCCGCCUGCAGGCGCCGGUCCUUCGGAUUGAUCGGUGGAUGGAUGCACUCGCCAAUGGCAAUUCAUCCAUCAAACAUCAUUCGUUACUGUAUAUUUUGUGGCAAAUCAAGAUUAGAGGUUCAUCAUCCGUUUACCGUUUUGGUUUGUCCCCUGGCGUCAUCAUCACCGUCUGGGCUUUGGAACUGACAAUAUGGUUCUUUCGGUGAAAUUCAGGUGAAAGUAAAACUCCACCGGUAGAUAGCAGCGGCCAUGGUGCCGUCGUGGGAACAGAGCAGUACGUACGUUACGGGCUCGCGUCAAAUCCUCGACGGAACCGUGCCCGCUGCACCGGUGGGUGAACAGAACACCAUAAAUCCCUCGCGGCCGUGGAGAGAAGUCAGGGGAACCGCGUGUACGUACGUGGUCCUCUCCUGCUAGCUAUAGCUAGGCUGCCCCGUGCGACCGGCGGCGAGGAAACGGCACGCUCGGGAGCCGUCAACAUUGAAUCGGAGGGCCGGGCGGCCGCGAUAGCGUAGCGACCAGCGAGAUACUCAGUCAGUACGGGCUACUUCGGGCUGUCACGCACGCACCGAGCCGGACGGCCGGGCCGACGCGUCGGGCUUGGGAACCACCGGCGCCGCAGGGGCGGGCUCGGACCGCGUCCAACGCCGCAGGCUUUGCAAAGCUUGCGUUGCGUGUACCCCACGCUACCACGCGGGUCCCCUCCACCAAUCAAUUCCAGGCCGGACGGACGGCCGGUACCGUGUACCGACGCGUCGCCCGCCGGAUCUCCGUGGCGUUUUCCUUUGCCUUUAGUUGUGUACCCGCCCCGCUUCACGCCGGCCUUGUGCGGCAGUUGUGUACACACACGCACGCACUUGUACUACUACUGGUGGCCUUGGACUUUGCUGGUUGCUGGUGCGCACCCAGCUUUUUGCGAACGGUUCCGGGAAACGCCGGCGGAAACUUGUGCGGCGGGUCGGUCGGUUGCCGGGGAAGGAAGGAUUCUUCACACAAGCAACGUGAGAUCUGACCAAGGGGAGCAGCAGCCAGCCAGCACGAGCAGCAGUUCGGCGCUGGAGCUACGCGCGAGCUGGGGCAGGAGCUACACGCCAUGUACGUUGCGUCCCCGGGCCGGUUUGAUUUACGACCGGAAGAGCCGCAGCGUUUCCGGCGCGAUGACCGGACAAAUUAGCCGGCUUGGCCGAUGGCUAUACUAUAUCGGAUUGGACAUAUGGAGUGAUAGUGCUCCCGACAGGUAGGAGACGGACGGACGAGAGCGAGUAAACUGCUGCCUGCGACUCUGCGAGUCCUGCCGUGCACGGCUCCAUGGACGGACCGCACGUCCAUGGCCUGUGUAGCUCCGACCGCACCGGACGCAGGCAAGCGGGACGUGCUGUUCAUCCUGCAGACGGGACUGACCCAAGUUAUUGGAGACGCGUCGGCAUUGAAGCCUUUUCCAUUCUCAGGAGCAUGACGUAAUCACGGGAUCACGCACGGCGUGGGCAAAAGAUUACCAGCCGCGCCGCGCGUGCCUGACUGCCUGUGCAGCUGUGCUAUUUUGAGUGCAGAAUACAGUUCUUCAGAACCGCGCCUGUUUUUUGAGGCUAACUGAACAUGCAGUUCCAUACAAUUUCAAAACUCUACGUAUAAUACGGAAGGGUAAAAGAUACUGAGGCGGUCGAGACCACUGUCGCGACACGCGAAGCCUGAAAUCGUAGCGGAUUUACUUUUUCUUUCUCUCGGGGCAACGUCCAGCAACAGCAAGUGACUGCUUGCCGGUUCAUCUGGCCGGACUGAAGGUGCAGAACUAUCUGCUUCCAUGACCAUGUCAUCUUACUGAACUGAUGUUGAUGUUGAUCGAACGGAAACUUGGUAUUAGUGCAAUUUGCAUUUGGUAGACGGGGGGUGGGAUGAAGAAGCUGCAGCGCAUUGGUCAGGGCAGCAGAUGGAAAACGCUGGAGACGGAGGUCAAAGAAGACGCGCGUAAAGGAACCGGUCAGAACAGUGACUUCCUUACUGGAUUUAGGUGACAGGCUGAAAAUUGUUUAUACUUUGGCACGUUGCCUGGGACACAGCAGUGGACAAGUUCGGUUCGGAGAAUUCUAUCCUCCAGUCAUGUUCCUUCUCGGUGAUUAACUAUCAGCUCAUCUGCCAAUCACAUGUUCUGUGGUGACAGCAGCCAGCAAAAAUAACCGAACGGAUUAGUGAUCGCCUAGAUUAUGUAGCUCAAUUUGCAUGCGUAGUUUCAAACGGUAUAAAACGAUGCCUUCGAAGAAAUGGGAGUAGUAAAAAACAUGUGGACUCGAUUUGGGCCGGGCCGCGAUAUCUUCGGUUCUCCACCCUCUUACGCGCAGCGUUUCUUCUCAGUGUCUGCUCAUCACUUGCGUUAGCUUGUAUUGUUUGCCUUCGCUUAAUAUUAGUGCCAUGUUAUCAUGGCUCCAUCGCCCAGUCGAACGCCGGCUAUCAGUUCAAAUUAUGGAUAGUCUAUUGGCUUUGAAUAAUGCGUGUCCUUGCUCUGAUUCCGUUGAGUGUCAUUCCAAGAGUAGGUAUCUAUCAGAAGAAUUUUCAGCAAAUGUCAGUGCUGCUUGAAGUCAACGAGUACUAAUCACAACAUGUGUGAACAUUUGCCAUCCUCCUGCGGUGCACUCUGACCUGCAUUGGAGAGCUGUAUUGCAGCCUGAAGGUCUUCUUCUCUAUUCUACUUCUACAUAUCUACCCACGUGUAUAUGCAGUAUCCUCCGAUGGUUUAGCCCAUGGGCAAUGCAGUUGUCUGCUUCAAUUCUUGGUGUUUCAGAACUAGUAGUACUACUAGAUAUGAUCAGUAUGCUGGGGACAGGACAGUAUGAAUGUACGAUAGAUAAGGUCCUAGAACAUGGGCCACAGGUUAUGCAGAUCGCAGACACGAGUGUUUGGCUGGAACUGAUCUCCGAAUGCGAGACUCCGAGAAACGUUGAUGCCGCUUUCUGUCGAUCACCUUGAGCCAUUGUCCGUCUGCUGGCCUGGCAGGGAAAGUCUACGGAAUGCCAUCUCGAAAGCCAUGGAAAUUCUGUUUUGCCUGACAGAACUCUGGCGUACAUGAGCAACAGCGACCGGAGCGUGGUUUGCCUGCGUGCUUGACUGUAUGGUCACGACGAACACGAGGUGGCGACCAUCCGCCGCGUUAUCCAGGACUGCACCCGUCAGAGAAGGAUCCUUCACUUUUUGGGAAUCCAAUCACUUCGGGAUCCAUCAGAGCAGAAGACACGGCCAUUUCGCCGGCGGCUUUCCCCAUACAGUGCACAUCUCGUGAACUUCCGUCCAUAUUUUCUGGCCAAAUUUGCAAAGGAUUUGUGCUUUUCAGAGUGCAGCAAACGUAGCAAUACCAGGAAACUACGGAGUAGAAUAGGAAGGAACGUACGCCUGUUUGUUCGGGCGGCAAAGUCAGAGCGACACUCUCUCUACUUUGUUUGUUCGUCAGGCCAGGACGCCCGCCAAACCCGACAUGGAUAACUCCAUUAUUGACGAUGGAAAGUAGAAAUCUGACCCCGGGGGCACUAGCAGACGACACUAUCCACAUUGUCUUCACACACCGAGAAUAUGACAAAAUAACAUGCAUUCUUAAUUCACCUAUCGUCCCCAGUACACACCAUCAGAAAACAUCUUCGAUCUUCUAAGGCGUGGAUGCAUUAGGGGUGCGUAUAAAAAUAAUCAUACUCCUUCCGAUACAUAAAAAGUUUCCCACAUUUAGUACAAAAUAUGUACUCCCUCCGUCGAACAAAGGAUGUUUCAACUUUGAUUAAAUUUGAAUGCAUCUAUACACUAAGUCAUGUCUAGAUACAUUUAAAUUUUGACAAACUUGAGACAUCUUUUGUUGGACGGAGGGAGUACUAAUUUUAGUACAAAAUGUGUGACACUUUUUAUGAAUGGGGGGAGUAUCUCCUAGACUCUUUUGAUUCAAAUGAGUUAAUCCUUCAGAAUUUUUUCUAUGUAGGCUUAUUUCAUUCGUAGGAUUAGAUUUUAGUGGAAAUUUGCCUAUGGUUCACUUUGCACUGCAGUGAUGCAAACCAGAUUCCGCGAAAACCCACUUCUAGUUCAUUUUUCAAAUCUUCAAUUCAAAUUUUGAGCAAAAAUUUGGAUAAAAGACUUGAGAAUUGAACUAAAAGUUGACCAUCAAUGGGAUCCCGUUUGCAUCUCUACUGCUCUCAAUUCCAAAGUAAAUUUUCCAUCUAAAUCUAAUCACUUGAAAAAAUUCCUUUGUUUCCAUGAUAACUAUACCAAUGCACGUAAUGUUUUUCUCUGUUUUUCCUCUAAUGCUAGAUUGAGUCUGUUUUUCCUUUAAUGUUUUUCCAACUCGAUUAGUUUAUUCAGGUGGUUUCUUCCUGUAGAAAACAACAUAUCAUGACAUUUCAAUCUUGUGUUUGCUAUUUCAGGGCUCAUUCACUCUACAUGCGUUUUAGAUGAUUUUUCUACAAGAUUUCAACUCUUACACCUUGUUUGGCACAUGUGGGUUUCUUACGUUUUCUAUUUCUACUCUACAAUCUUAAAAUCAUGUUCUCCUUCUGACCUUUGUUCUCAAAUUUAUCUAAAUACGGAUGUAUCUAUGUUUAAAAAAUGUCUAUAUAUAUUUAUAAUAUUUCAGUAACUAAUAUGAAUCGGAGCAACUAACUCGAACGAGCCCUCGGUGUUUGAAUAUUUAAAUACUCCUGAAUGCAAGUAUAGUUCUGCACUCCUACUGCAGCUUGCUACCACGAAACUAAACAUUUCUCUUUCUGCAGCCCCCGACUCGAUCUAGCCGCAGUCCAUGUCGUUCUUUUCGCCCUGGCGUGUGCAAGAGUCGAACCCAUAGUGUGAACAAUUGAGUUAGGCACGAGCCGGAGAGGAGGAGAAAGGACAAAUUAUUGCUCAGAUUAAUCAUCACCUCGAUCGUUGCGGCGCAAUACCGUUAUAUAACGACGGAAUACGGGCCCACACGUCAGUGUAAAGCGAGCUGCUUGCCGCUUUCUCCCUCUUGCGUGACGCCGUCGCCGUCCAGAGCCAUCUGGCCACCGGGCUCCCAGCCCCCCACAGAUGUGCCCCCUGCAUGCGCGCCAUGUAUCAGCCUCUGAUACGUCAGGCCAGGAACCAUCCUCAGCCGUCAGUUCGUCCAUCUCGACGGCUGCGAUCGCGCUGCCGCCACUUAUAAAUAGCACCGAUGCACGCGCGAGAAAGUCCGUUUUACCUUGCUGGGGGGGGGGGGUUUUACUUACAUGAGCGCGGGAAUGGAGGCGGAGCUGGAGGCGGCUCAGCGGCGCUUCCGGCUCUGGUUCCGCGGGCUGCGUUCCCUGCGGCGGGACCUCCGGUCGGCCCGCUGGGCCGGCGACGACCCGGCCCAGCUGGGGAAGCUGGCGGGCGGCUUCGUGGCCCACUUCUCCGACUACUGCGCCGCGCGGGCCGAGCUGGACCCGGUCCUGCUGCUGUCGGCGCCCUGGGCGAGCCCCGCGGAGCGUGGCGCCGCCUACUGGCUGGCCGGGUGGCGGCCGACCACGGUGGUCCACCUGCUGUACACCGAGUCCAGCCGCCGGUUCGAGGCGCAGCUCCCUGACCUGCUCCUGGGCGUGCGGUCGGGCAACCUGGGCGACCUCAGCCCGGCCCAGCUGGCCCAGAUCGACGAGCUCCAGCGCCGCGCCGUCGCCGAGGAAGACGCGCUCUCAAGGGAGAUGGCGCGGCUGCAGGAGGGCCACGGCGUCGUUGGCGGAGACGGGGAUCUGGACGUGGAGGGGAUCGUGAGGCGCGCCGGGGCCGUGGUGGCAGGGGCCGACGCGCUGCGGCUGCGCACCUUGAAGCGCGCCGUGGAGAUCCUCGAGCCGGCGCAGGCCGCCGAGCUGCUCGUCGCCAUGGCCGACAUGGAGAUCGGCUUCCGGGAGUUCGGGCUAAAGCACGGCGACGGCGGUGGCGAGCCGAGCCGCGGCGCGUAGGCAUAGGCGUGGCGCGGUCCAGAGAGCAGAUCCUCAUCCGCAUCGGCGGCUCGGCCCAGUUUUUUUCUUCCAAGUGUUUGCGCUGGUUUGACUGGGACAGAAAGACUGCUCACUGUUGUAAUCUUGUUGCCGUGACGAUUGUCUUUGCCGAACUGUCUCGCGGUGGGUGCUGCGUCGUAGCUGGACCGUGUGCGUGUGCGUGUGCGUGCGCGUGCGCCUGCUGGGAUGUCGUGUGAGAAAGCAAUAAAAUGCAAGGAAUGCAUGCUUGGUUUCGUUGAGAAGUCAUAUUUUGUUUUCGAGCAAGCGGUUUUUUUAACAUCUUUUCCGAUAAAUUGGCUGUUUGUCUGUUCACUACAGAAGACCCGUCCUUUUAAAAACGGUUUUGCUAUUAAUAAAUCCAUGUUUUAGUUAGAGUAGUCAUAGGAUUUUAAUCCAAUGAUAGCAAGUGAGAGAUGAGAGAACGAGGAUGACUCUCAGAUCUCCAGCAGUUAUGAAACGUCGACUGAUAUUUAAGGUUCAUUUUUUAAAAACUUGCGACUUAGAAAUAGCCAUACCCAUUUAAAAAACGUGUUAAAUCUUAUUAAAAUAAGAUUCUGAUCGAUAACUUAUUUUUAAUAGGUAUUGCUACGGAAAAGUUGUUUUUCUAGUUAAAGAUAAGUUGAAACACCAACUGUCAUAUCUUGAUCCAACGGCGGCACAUUGAAGAUGGGGUGUAGCUGCUAGCUUCGGCAUUGAAGAUGGCGUCAUGGUAGGGAGAAGCUAUCAAGUUAUCCGAGAUAGAGGAGGCACUGAUGGAACACAUCCGCUUGCUAGGCUUGUAAUCGGACAAAUAAUUCAAACAGCUUUGCUAUUCAUAAGACAAUUGAGAAAUAAUUAUUUUCAAGCCGACGCUAACAAUCGUUUAAUCCAAUCUCUGAUAUGUGUGAGAUCUAUACAAGUGUUGUUGACUGAAAAUAACUGCUUCCUCCGCGCCUGGAUACUCGUCGUGGUCCGGAAAUCCAACCAGUUGUUCGUUCGAGCCAGAUCCAAACGACACCGGACAGACAACCACGGGCGGUUCUACCGUGCCGCACGGUCACGCGCCCAAUUAACCGGCCACACGGCCAAGCGAAUCCAGGAUUAAAAAUAGGAAUCGCGUACAAUUACCGGCCACCCAGCCAGGCAGCCCGCAACGAUAAACCAGCAGUCUCCCGCUCCAUGUUUGGGAGCCAUGCCCAACUACAAACCCAACGUUUCCAAGCUGGCCGCCGCGCCCCGCGACAUCCACACGGCAGAUUAACCCUUCUUCUCCUUUCCUUCCUUCCUCCCUCUCCGCGCGCGCGCGACCUCCCGCAGACCCGCCUCCGCGAAUCUAGCCACCCCCGCGCGUGCGCCACGCACCGUCCGUCCGUCGGACCUCGGCCGGGCCGGCCCGCGGUCGUCGGCGCGCGGAGGGCGUUCGUGAGAAUGCGUGCGGCGGCGAUUGGUUGCUAGCUAGCUAGCGGCAUGCCUGGCAUGAGCGCGUGAUGGCGCCGCCGUUCCUGAAGACCGGGCACGGCCGCGACAGGUUCUCCUUCAGGCGGCGGAAAUCGUCCUCCUCCUCGUCCUCCUCGUCGACGCCGUCUUCUCCGCUCUCGGUGUCGUCCACAGCGUCGGAGGACAUCGCCGACCCGGGCAGCCCCAUGGAGUCGUCAGCGACGACGGGCAAGACGCUGCCCUGCGCCCGGCGGGCGCUCUCGCGGAGCAGCUGCGGGUCCAGGGGCAAGCUGUCCGUCGACCUGAUCCCGCCGCCGCUCGCCGGCGGCCCGUCCGACGCGCCCAGGUCCUCCACCUCCGCCGCGCCGCCCCCCAAGCCUCCCCCCCGCAACGAGGGCCCGCCUUCAGGUCUCACCAUUGUUAAUUUUCUAGUGUCUGUCUGACUUUCUGUCGUCAAAUGCAGAGAAAUGCCUUGUUAUGUUUUCGUGAUCGAUUGCAUGUAUCCAGAUGCUGACAUCGUGAGGGACAAGUUCUCCAAGCUGCUGCUGGGGGAGGACAUGUCCGGCACCGGCAAAGGGGUGUCCUCUGCCCUCGCUCUCUCCAACGCCAUCACCAAUCUUGCAGGUAAUCUCUCCCUUACCUUCCAUUUCCGAUCUUUCCAUUUCCAAUAACAGUCCCUGUCUUUCAAAUCUUCCCAUUCUGUCCGUUGGGUUCUGAUGGAUACUGACACGAUCAGCUAUGAUUUCUUUCUCAUGACGUGGCACAUUGCAGCUUCCGUGUUCGGUGAGCAGCGGCGUCUCCAGCCGAUGGCCGCAGAGCCGAAGGCCCGAUGGACAAAAGAAAUUGACUGGCUUCUGUCCGUUGCCGACCACAUCGUCGAAUUCGUUCCUUCACGUCAGGUGUCCGAGGAUGGCUCCACCAUGGAGGUCAGAAACAAGAGGAUCCUUGCUUAUCACAAGUACCUGGAUGUAGUUCUGUAUCACGGAACAUCUUUAUGCAAAUCCAAUUACAGCGGUGCUAUUUUUCUCUCUCUCCCCCCAAACAGAUAAUGAUGACUCAGCAGCGUAAGGAUCUGCAGAUGAACAUCCCCGCACUGCGCAAGCUCGACGGGAUGCUCCUUGUAAAGCUCUGCCACAUUCUUCUUUGAAAUCAUUUACGAGAAUGACAUGCGUGGAGAUACCUGAUGAAUUGCUAAUAUGCUAUGGCUGCACAUUUCCUGUUGUGGGGGCACAGAGCUAUCUUGACAGCUUCAGGGACAAGCAGGAGUUUUGGUACGUGUCGAAAGACGCAGAUGACUCGGAGAAGGGAGACGCGCCGAAGCAGGAUGACAAGUGGUGGCUCCCGACUGUCAGGGUCCCUCCUAAUGGUCUGUCGGACUCGUCGAGGAGGUGGCUUCUACACCAGAGGGAGCUCGUCGGCCAAGUCCAUAAGGCAACAAUGGCCAUCAAUGCUAAUGUUCUUAUGGAGAUGGAUGUUCCAGAAGCCUAUAUGGAGUCUCUGCCUAAGGUGACCCAUAUGAACACAGCAACAUUGCAUAACAUUUUUCUUUACUUCGGUUCACUGCAUUUAGAGGGAUCGAGACUCACUUUGACAGCAUCUUCUUUUUUUAUGCUUGAUAGAAUGGAAAGUCUAGCCUUGGAGACUCAAUGUACAAGCUUAUAACUGACGAAUAUUUUGACCCAGAAGAACUCAUAGCAUCAGUAGACUUGUCAGCCGAGUACAGCAUCGUUGAUCUGAAGAACCGAAUCGAAGCCUCGAUUGUCAUUUGGCAGAAGAAAAUGACGCAGAAGGAUGCCAAGAUGUGGGGGCAUGGUGUCAGUCAUGAGAAGCGGGGACGGUUUGAGGGGAGGGCGGAGAAUGUUCUUCUCCUCCUUAAGCACAGAUUCCCCGGAAUUUCUCAGUCAGCUCUGGACAUAAGCAAAAUCCAGUACAACAGGGUACUGGCAACCAUCUUCAAUUUUCCACUGUAUUUUCGGAUUUCCUACAGUACUUUAUUACUCAUGCUCAUUGCAUACAUUUUCUCGUUGUGAUUUUUUUGCAGGAUGUUGGCAGUGCCAUUUUGGAGAGCUACUCCAGGACUCUUGAGAGUCUAGCAUACACGGUUAUGUCUCGCAUCGAAGACGUUCUUCGCGCCGACUCCCUUGCUCAAGACCCCAAGAACGCGGAGGCGACGAGAAUGCCGAGCUUAUCAUCAGAUGACACAGACACGGUCGUCCAAGAUGCCAAGGACGAGGUGGAGAGGCUGGGAAGAAUGGAGCCUCUGAACUCGACACUAUUCGACUACGUGGGCCCACGGGACGGAGAUAUCGGGCCCAUGAUGUCGGAUUCACAGGAACCUCGGGGUGCAAAGCUGUCAAAGGUUUCGUCGAUCGCAACCAAGAGGUUCUCCUACCUAGAUAAGCUUGAGAAUUUGGGUGGAACAAGGAGCCCCAUAUCUAGACACUAGUCGCUGCCGUAGGGGAAAAGACGAUCAAUAUGGUGUUGAUGUUGCUGCAGAGACUCCGGGGAAAACUGCACGUAAAUAGCUCCGCAAAAACUGAGGGUGCAGCAUGCAUUGUGAGGUUUAUGUAAGCUUUCAAGCUUUCAGGCACCAAUACCUCCAAUUUGGUGCAGUUGCCAAGACAAUGUGAUGACGAUUCUCCUGCUAAAUUUACAUGAAAUAACCACAAGAUUCUGACACUGGACCUGAAAAUGGACCUCCAGAUUUUCUUACUGUACUUCUGUAGCAAAGUUUUGUGGUUCCAGUAAAGUGUUUGUUAUCUUAGACUUGACUUGCAGACCAUGCUUGGGUUCGGCUAGUGUUCUCCCCACGUACAAUUUAAGAGGGUAAUAACAUAUCACUGAACUUGGAGAUCGAUCUGUGUUAGCUUCUGGCGUUCUAGAUCGGCACUGUAAUAAGUAACUGUAACUGUACCAUGGCUCUAUGCAUUGGGAAAUUAAAACCACUCGUAUGAGUAAAUCAAUUUACAGGAACAAAUGAGCAGUAAAAAGCAUCCUUCCGGUUGCUGAUAGUACGUGCAGCUAGGCACGCCAUAUGAGUACAUACAACGAAGGACUUAACGUCCAGAUACGCAGAUCCAUGGUACACAAGCACAGGCAUAUGCAGGAACAGAUUCAGAGAGAGAGAGAGAGAGAAAGAAACUGAAACCAAAGCUUUAAUCAAAUCAGAUCAGAUCUUGCCGCGUGGGCCGGGGGUGGGGGGAAGCUGCGGCCCCUUCUUGAUGGGCAGCAGGUCCGGCGACGUGGUGGCGCCGAGGUAGGCGAUCAGGGACCCGCCGCCGAGGAGCAGGAACUUGAGCAGCAGGCCGCGCUUGGUGAAUGGCGCCGCGAAGGUCUGGAAGAACUUGCUCUGCAGCCCGUUGUAAGGGGACGGCGCGUCGGACCCGUACAGGUCCCACUGCCCCGUCGUGUUGCCGAUGUCGUCCAGGUCGAAGUACACGCUCUUCUCCCCGUACUUCGCCUGCACCGCGACGCCUCGUGCAGGCCUGCAGGCGUACGCGCACGCGUAUAUAUACGGUUAUUUAUACGUAUGUACAUACGCUCGAUCGAUGACAUAUUAGCUCGCUUCACGUGCGUACCUG
rnacentral:lncRNA from 1 species